rnacentral:lncRNA from 1 species
AAUAAAAAAAAAAACUUCAAAAAAUCCUCCUGUGGUUUCGUAUUUUUUUAUUUUAGUACCCUGUGAUUUAAAAUGUAUCAAGUUAGUAUUCUGUGGUUUCACACUUUCUCACUUUAGUACCCUGUGGUUUAAAGUGUAUCAAGUUAGUACCCUGUGAUUUUAUUUUUGUAUCAAGUUAGUAUCCUGUGAUUUUAUUUUUGUAUCAAGUUAGUACCCUGUGAUUUUAUUUUUGUAUCAAGUUAGUAUCCUGUGAUUUUAUUUUUGUAUCAAGUUAGUACUCUGUGGUUUUUAAACCACAGGGUACUAAAGUGAGAAAGUGCGAAACCAUAAGGUACUAACUUGAUACACUUUAAACCACAAGGUACUAAAGUGAAAAAGUGCAAAAUCACAGGGUACUAACUUGAUACACUUUAAACCACAGGGUAUUAAAG